UACGGGGGGGGCAAGCGUUGUUCGGAAUUACUGGGCGUAAAGGGCGCGUAGGCGGUGCUCUAAGUUAGAUGUGAAAACUCUGGGCUCAACCCAGAGCCUGCAUCUAAAACUGGAGUGCUAGAGUUCUGGAGGGGGUAGCGGAAUUCCUGGUGUAGCGGUGAAAUGCGUAGAUAUCAGGAGGAACACCGGUGGCGAAGGCGGCUACCUGGACAGAAACUGACGCUGAGGCGCGAAAGCUAGGGGAGCAAGCAGG
rnacentral:rRNA from 1 species